AACGAACGCUGGCGGCAUGCCUAACACAUGCAAGUCGAGCGAGCACUUCGGUUCUUUCCUCCUCCGUCUUUGUCACCCGUCGGAAUUUUCCCUUCUCUACGGAAUACCCCUUGGAAACUGGUAGUAAUACCGUAUACGCCCUUUUUCGGAAAGAUUUAUCGAAGAAGGAUCAGCCCGAGUUGGAUUAGGUAGUUGGUGGGGUAAUGGCCUACCAAGCCGACGAUCCAUAGCUGGUUUGAGAGGAUGAUCAGCGACACUGGGACUGAGACACGGCCGAGACUCCUACGGGAGGGAGCAGUGGGGAAUCUUAGACAAUGGGGGCAACGAUGAUGGAGCCAUGCCGGGUGAGUGAUGAAGGCCUUAGGGUUGUAAAGCUCUUUCAGCUGGGAAGAUAAUGACGGUACCAGCAGAAGAAGCCACGGCUAACUACGUG
rnacentral:rRNA from 1 species